AUUGAACGCUGGCGGCAUGCCUUACACAUGCAAGUCGAACGGUAACAGGCCGCAAGGUGCUGACGAGUGGCGAACGGGUGAGUAAUGCAUCGGAACGUGCCCAGUCGUGGGGGAUAGCUGCUCGAAAGAGCAGCUAAUACCGCAUACGACCUGAGGGUGAAAGCGGGGGACCGAAAGGCCUCGCGCGAUUGGAGCGGCCGAUGUCAGAUUAGGUAGUUGGUGGGGUAAAGGCCUACCAAGCCGACGAUCUGUAGUUGGUCUGAGAGGACGACCAGGCACACUGGGACUGAGAGACGGCCCCGACUCCUACGGGAGGCAGCAGUGGGGAAUUUUGGACAAUGGGGGCAACCCUGAUCCAGCAAUGCCGCGUGCAGGAAGAAGGCCUUCGGGUUGUAACUGCUUUUGUCAGGGAAGAAAUCCUGUGGGUUAAUACCUCGUGGGGAUGACGGUACCUGAAGAAUAAGCACCGGCUAACUACGUGCCAGCCGCCGCAGUAAAAC
rnacentral:rRNA from 1 species